ACCUUGCUUUGACUCGCCGUUUGAUCUAUCAGUCAUAGACAGUGACCGCAUUGCUGUAACGUAUGGACGUAAAAAGUAUUUGGAGAUUUUGAAUAUGAAAAACAAUACUGUCGAGAGGAAAGUUAAAUUUGAUAACGACUGCUUUGGAAUAUCAUAUCAUGACAAUAAACUAUUUAUUGCUUCAGGAGGCGUUGUAAUAACAGAUAUUACAGGAACAGUACUAAAAACAUUUAAUAUUAAAUGUGGAUUAUACUUGACAACCACAGAGAUAGAAUUUAUUUUACAAGAAAUUUGUCUGUAAAUUGUAUCUCCAUGUCAGGUGAGAAAAUAUGGGAACACUCCGAGAAAUCUUCAGUCAAUCUGCAGGGCAUCACGGUUGAUGAUCACAAAAAUGUAUUUGUUACUGGUAUACAUUCGAAUAGGCUGAUAUUGAUACAACAUGACGGACAAUGCCGUAGAAAUUUACUUACAAUAA
rnacentral:lncRNA from 1 species